AGUUAAUAAGCUAAAAGCAAUAUAUUUUGAAAAUAUAAGAAAGAAUAACAUUCUAUUAACUU
rnacentral:tRNA from 1 species